rnacentral:pre_miRNA from 1 species
UCUCAUGAAUGAGCAAAGACAGUGGUUUCUUGAGAUGAAAACUACUCCCGGCGAAAAUACUGUGAA